UUGACCUCGGAUCAGGUAGGGAUACCCGCUGAACUUAAGCAUAUCAAUAAGCGGAGGAAAAGAAACCAACAGGGAUUGCCCUAGUAACGGCGAGUGAAGCGGCAACAGCUCAAAUUUGAAAUCUGGCUCUUUUAGAGUCCGAGUUGUAAUUUGCAGAGGGCGCUUUGGCUUUGGCAGCGGUCCAAGUUCCUUGGAACAGGACGUCACAGAGGGUGAGAAUCCCGUACGUGGUCGCUGGCUAUUGCCGUGUAAAGCCCCUUCGACGAGUCGAGUUGUUUGGGAAUGCAGCUCUAAAUGGGAGGUACAUUUCUUCUAAAGCUAAAUAUUGGCCAGAGACCGAUAGCGCACAAGUAGAGUGAUCGAAAGAUGAAAAGCACUUUGGAAAGAGAGUCAAACAGCACGUGAAAUUGUUGAAAGGGAAGCGCUUGCAGCCAGACUUGCUUGCAGUUGCUCAUCCGGGCUUUUGCCCGGUGCACUCUUCUGCAGGCAGGCCAGCAUCAGUUUGGGCGGUAGGAUAAAGGUCUCUGUCACGUACCUCUCUUCGGGGAGGCCUUAUAGGGGAGACGACAUACUACCAGCCUGGACUGAGGUCCGCGCAUCUGCUAGGAUGCUGGCGUAAUGGCUGUAAACGGCCCGUCUUGAAACACGGACCAAGGAGUCUAACAUCUAUGCGAGUGUUUGGGUGUCAAGCCCGAGCGCGUAAUGAAAGUGAACGGAGGUAGGAACCCGCAAGGGUGCACUAUCGACCGAUCCUGAUGUCUUCGGAAGGAUUUGAGUAAGAGCAUGGCUGUUGGGACCCGAAAGAUGGUGAACUAUGCUUGAAUAGGGUGAAGCCAGAGGAAACUCUGGUGGAGGCUCGCACCGGUUCUGACGUGCAAAUCGAUCGUCAAAUUUGGGCAUAGGGGCGAAAGACUAAUCGAACUAUCUAGUAGC
rnacentral:rRNA from 1 species